GACGAACGCUGGCGGCGUGCUUAACACAUGCAAGUCGAACGAAGAGGCGAACGUGUGAGUAACGCGUAAUCAACCUGCCCUUCAGUGGGGGACAACAGUUGGAAACGAUUGCUAAUACCGCAUACGGAAGGAGGGGAUUGCGUCUGAUUAGCUAGUUGGAGGGGUAACGGCCCACCAAGGCGAUGGUCAGUAGCCGGGCUGAGAGGAUGGACGGCCACAUUGGGACUGAGACAAGGUCCAGACUCCUACGGGAGGGAGCAGUGGGGAAUCUGCCGCAAUGGACGGAAGUCUGACGGAGCAACGCCGCGUGAGUGAUGACGGCCUUCGGGUUGUAAAGCUCUGUUAAUCGGGACGCGGUACCGGAAUAGAAAGCCACGGCUAACUACGUGCCAGCAGCCGCGGUAAUAC
rnacentral:rRNA from 1 species